GACGAACCGAGCGAACGUUGUUCGGAAUCACUGGGCUUAAAGGGCGCGUAGGCGGGUGCUCAAGUCCGGGGUGAAAUCCUCCAGCUCAACUGGAGAACUGCCUCGGAUACUGGGUGCCUCGAGUGUGGUAGGGGUGUGCGGAACUAUCGGUGGAGCGGUGAAAUGCGUUGAUAUCGAUAGGAACUCCGGUGGCGAAGGCGGCACACUGGACCACAACUGACGCUGAGGCGCGAAAGCAUGGGGAGCGAACAGG
rnacentral:rRNA from 1 species